UACGUAGGGGGGCAAGCGUUGUCCGGAAUCAUUGGGCGUAAAGAGCGUGUAGGCGGCCCGGUAAGUCCGCUGUGAAAGUCCAGGGCUCAACCCUGGGAUGCCGGUGGAUACUGUCGGGCUCGAGUCCGGAAGAGGAGUGUGGAAUUCCUGGUGUAGCGGUGAAAUGCGCAGAUAUCAGGAGGAACACCGGUGGCGAAGGCGG
rnacentral:rRNA from 1 species